rnacentral:pre_miRNA from 1 species
AGGGCAAUUGCUGGAUUAUAUGGUAAGAGAAUGUUUAGUUUUGUAAGAAAUUACCAAACUGUCUUCUAAAGUGACUGUACUAUUUUGCAUUCCCACCAGCAAU